rnacentral:lncRNA from 1 species
GUGACAUGCAAGAAGCACUCUCGGGGGCAGGGUAUGCCCCCAAGCAUCAGAGAGAGAGAAGACUUCUGGAAUUCAGGGCUGGGAGUGAUUUUAGAAGUGCUCUUGGGCGCCUGGGUGGCACAGCGGUUAAGCGUCUGCCUUCGGCUCAGGGCGUGAUCCCGGCGUUGUGGGAUCGAGUCCCACAUCAGGCUCCUCCGCUAUGAGCCUGCUUCUUCCUCUCCCACUCCCCCUGCUUGUGUUCCCUCUCUCGCUGGCUGUCUCUCUCUCUGUCAAAUAAAUAAAUAAAAUCUUCAAAAAAAAAAAAAAAGAAGUGCUCUUGUUCAACCCUCUUCCCUCCCUCUUCCCACGGAGGACUAGGAGAUGAGCCCGAUGGGUGACAGUGGCCCGGCACCCAGUCCGCGGCCUGAGGAUACAGGAAGGGUGGGGAAGCCUCUCGUGUAGCAGCUGGGUGUCUAAGCAUGGGAUCGCCGGGCUUGCAGGUUCUGUUUCUCUGUGUGUGUGUUUCGGUAAUUCAUUUUCCUGUGGUUUACAGAAGGAUUCCUUCAAGAUGGAUUGAGGACCGAAAGAACAAUAAUGACAACAGUUUCUUGGGCGGAAGCCGUUGCCUGGGAGAGUUACAACUCAUUCAGUCACAUGACCGUCAGGGCGGCCCGUCUGCUCCUAUUCCCUCCCACCAAGUCUUCCCUCAGAAGCCCUGAGAUGGUCUCAGAGACCUCAGGAACCCCAAUUUAUUCUCCAGCCUCUGCCCUGACAGCAAGGGAAGAUGAUUUUUCUUGCGGGCUUGAGCCUUUUGCUUUCCUGUGAGUACUCUCUCGCGUACGUUCCUCAUGUCCUUCCACCCCGUUUCCCUUUCUCUGGCUUUAAGCCCUUGGCCUGUUUCUCUCGACACUUGGUUUUCCAGGGAUUCUCUGCCUUUGACUUUCAUCUCUGUGUCGUCCUCCUGCCUCUGCCCGCGGAGUUCCGUCGGGGGGAGCCCGUGUGGGGCCCAGUGCCUUUGGAAGCGCAGGGCUUCGCAUCUGCUCUUUCUGCUCUUCACAGGCAGGGGCGUGCUGUGUGACGAAGUGACCCAGCGCUCCCCGGACCAGACAGUGGCCAGUGGCAGUAAGAUUUUACCGGGCAUCGGUUUUCUGUGCUGCAUGAUCAGUCCCGGAGAACCUUCCAUUUAGUGAUCUCCCCGGUGGAGCCUGAAGACAGUGCCACUUACUACUGUGCCAUGAGCCCCCACAGUGACGCAGGUGCCCAGGAGGUCUGAACGUAAACCCAGGCACAGCCUCCUCGAGCCACCUCUCAGGGCAGCUCACGGCCCCAGACACGGGAUCCUUCGUCCCAGCUAUUUUGUGUCCCGGCCUGGCCUUCGGAGGUGCCCUACAGGGUCUGCUAAAUGAUAAAAAGCCAGCUCCCCCCGGCUUCGGCUGGAGCGGGGCACCUCCCCCUUUCUGACUCAGUGGGCCCUGGUGGCGGAGAGGGGGAGAGGUACGUCUGAAGAAUUCUCAUCUUUGUGUCCCCAGUGCCCCUCUCACUCACGCCUGACAGCGCGGGGCUGACACGUAUGUGCUCGAGUCCUGUGACGGUGUCAGAAUGGGGCAGGUGAAGGGCCAGGCCAGGGAGCGCUCCUCAAGAGGGGCUUUAUUUUACCUUCCAUCAUUUAUCCAUUAUUGUGACUCGGUCUGUUUUCUUUUUAAGACUCAAAAUUAGAAAGUUACUUCAGGGCCGCCUGGGUGGCACAGCGGUUAAGCGUCUGCCUUCGGCUCAGGGUGUGAUCCCGGCGUUCUGGGAUCGAGCCCCACAUCAGGCUCCUCCACUAUGAGCCUGCUUCUUCCUCUCCCACUCCCCCUGCUUGUGUUCCCUCUCUCUCUGGCUGUCUCUAUCUCUGUCGAAUAAAUAAAUAAAAUCUUAAAAAAAAAAAAAAAGA